CCUGUUCCUAGAGGCAUUACAGGUGUGACUGCUGUGUCACGUGUGUCAGUAGGUCACAGAGAGGAGAGGGGCUGUGUCUGUACUCACUGUUCUGACCUGGGAAUAUUUGAAUGAUCAGUAGCCUAAACUUU